AUUGAACGCUGGCGGUAUGCUUUACACAUGCAAGUCGAACGGUAACAGGGAGCUUGCUCCGCUGACGAGUGGCGAACGGGUGAGUAAUGCGUCGGAACGUGCCGAGUAGUGGGGGAUGACGCAGCGAAAGUUGUGCUAAUACCGCAUACGUACUGAGGGAGAAAGUGGGGGACCUUCGGGCCUCACGCUAUUCGAGCGGCCGACGUCUGAUUAGCUAGUAGGUGAGGUAAAGGCUCACCUAGGCGACGAUCAGUAGCGGGUCUGAGAGGAUGAUCCGCCACACUGGGACUGAGACACGGCCCAGACUCCUACGGGAGGCAGCAGUGGGGAAUUUUGGACAAUGGGCGAAAGCCUGAUCCAGCCAUGCCGCGUGUCUGAAGAAGGCCUUCGGGUUGUAAAGGACUUUUGUCGGGGAGGAAAUCCCCAGCGCUAAUACCGCUGGGGGAUGACAGUACCUGAAGAAUAAGCACCGGCUAACUACGUGCCAGCCGCCGCUGUAACAC
rnacentral:rRNA from 1 species